rnacentral:rRNA from 1 species
AGAUUGAACGCUGGCGGCAGGCCUAACACAUGCAAGUCGAGCGGUAGAGAGGUGCUUGCACCUCUUGAGAGCGGCGGACGGGUGAGUAAAGCCUAGGAAUCUGCCUGGUAGUGGGGGAUAACGCUCGGAAACGGACGCUAAUACCGCAUACGUCCUACGGGAGAAAGCAGGGGACCUUCGGGCCUUGCGCUAUCAGAUGAGCCUAGGUCGGAUUAGCUAGUUGGUGAGGUAAUGGCUCACCAAGGCGACGAUCCGUAACUGGUCUGAGAGGAUGAUCAGUCACACUGGAACUGAGACACGGUCCAGACUCCUACGGGAGCAGCAGUGGGGAAUA